AUGUUCUCUGUAGCUCUGAUACUGCUGCUGGCAGCUGGAUCCUGUGUGAACAGUAUUGAUCUCAUCCAGCCAGACUCAAUGGUUGUGCAGCCUGGACAGUCUUUGACCAUCAGCUGUCAGGUCUCUGGUUAUUCUAUGACUGAUAACAGCUAUGCAACAGGUUGGAUCAGACAGUGUGAAGGAAAACCCAUGGACUGGAUCUCCCAUCAGUGGGGUGGUGGUAGCUUAACUCAAAAUAAUGCUCUGAAGAACAAGUUCAGCUCCAGCAGAGACACGUCUGCUCUAACAAUGACUCUAAAAGGACAGAAUCUGCAGCCUGAGGACACAGCUGUGUAUUACUGUGUCAGAAGAGACACAGUGAGAGAUUCGCAGAGGCUGCAGAUUCCUACAAUCCACACCGCUGUUGUGGACCUGGUGACACCUGGAAGGGGGUACCUGAAGACAGCCAGCGGCUGGGUCGGAAGGUACAGCAGGCUGGAUCCAGAGAAGACAUCGCGGCCGAGACCCUCCGACAGGAUGGCGAGGAUCGGUCCAACAGGAGAGUCUUCUGAGGAUCUUCAGUUUCACUAA